AGGGUUUGAUCAUGGCUCAGGAUGAACGCUAGCGGCAGGCUUAACACAUGCAAGUCGAGGGGUAACAGGGAUUGCUUGCAAUCCGCUGACGACCGGCGCACGGGUGCGUAACGCGUAUGCAACCUACCUUUUACUGGGGGAUAGUCAAGAGAAAUUUUGAAUAAUACCCCAUACGAUCUGAUUCACUCCUGUGAAACAGAAGAAAAUUCCGAUGGUAAAAGAUGGGCAUGCGUCCUAUUAGUUUGUUGGUGAGGUAACGGCUCACCAAGACUACGAUAGGUAGGGGUCCUGAGAGGGAGAUCCCCCACACUGGUACUGAGACACGGACCAGACUCCUACGGGAGGCAGCAGUGAGGAAUAUUGGACAAUGGAGGCAACUCUGAUCCAGCCAUGCCGCGUGCAGGAAGACGGCCCUAUGGGUUGUAAACUGCUUUUAUACAGGAAGAAACGUUAGUACGUGUACUAGCCUGACGGUACUGUAAGAAUAAGGAUCGGCUAACUCCGUGCCAGCAGCCGCGGUAAUAC
rnacentral:rRNA from 1 species